rnacentral:lncRNA from 1 species
CCCGUCACUCAUCUUGUUCUUCUCAAUCAGCCUGGCGAUCCGUGUCAUCUCUGAUGCUGGGAAGUCCUCCCCUUGGUCUAAGAUCUUCCCCAUGAUCUUCAGCCGUCCUGGACUUGUCCAUACCUGAGAUCCCCACCUCUGCCACCAAGAGAUCAUCGCUGGAAGCCGAGUUUUCAGCAAGACGCUUGAACUCAUCCUGCUUCUCACCGUAGGGGUACUGGGUGUCGAACUUCACCAAGACGAACUUGCUUUUGGGAAUGACCUGAGGGCGUAUAGAGCUGAGCAAGUGGGUGUUCCAGGGACUUUUGGGGCUAAUUCCCCUUCCCAAGGGGCCCCUGUUUAAGAAAUAGA